rnacentral:snRNA from 1 species
AUAACUGGCUUGUGGCAG